AAGGCGUUGUGACUGUCAUUUGACGUGUGCAGUCGUCAGCUGCUGGGGACUGUGCUUUGAAGUGUGUGGGUGGCUUCAAACACUUGGGGGCAAGCAGCCCUACAGUUCUGCACCGCUGAGUGGAGGAAAUAACCAGAAAAGAAAGAAGAGGCUGUUUAUUGUAGUGCCAUCUCUCCCAAAUGCAUUCCAAGAAGGGGAUCUGUUUCUCCCGGUGAGACCCAGGAGAUCCUCAGACCAUGCUGUCCAUUCCAGGGCCUCUGCUCUCCUUCCCCACCAGAACACCGCUAAGCCCACCGGCAUGACCCUGGUGAUG